GAUGAACGCUGGCGGUAUGCCUAACACAUGCAAGUCGUACGAGAGUUUUUAACUCUAGUGGCGGACGGGUGAGUAACACGUGAGAAUUUACCUUUAGGAGGGGGAUAACAAUUGGAAACGAAUGCUAAUACCCCAUAUGCUUUCGAGUGAAAUGGAUUUAUAAUUAUCUGCCUAAAGAAAAGCUCGCGGCUGAUUAGCUUGUUGGUAAGGUAAGAGCUUACCAAGGCGACGAUCAGUAUCUGGUUUGAGAGGACGAUCAGACACACUGGAACUGAGACACGGUCCAGACUCCUACGGGAGGCAGCAGUGGGGAAUUUUCCGCAAUGGGCGAAAGCCUGACGGAGCAAUACCGCGUGAGGGAAGACUGCCUAUGGGUUGUAAACCUCUUUUUUCAGGGAGGAAUAAAAUGACGUGUACCUGAAGAAUAAGCAUCGGCUAACUCCGUG
rnacentral:rRNA from 1 species